CGAAACCAUCUCUGAGGACCUCUCCAAUACCCGUAUGUUCACGGAUGGAGUCUCGCUCUGUCACCCAGGCUGGAGUGCAGUGGUGCUAUCUCGGCUCACUGCAACCUCCGCCUCCUGGGUUCCAGGAAUUCCCUGCUUCAGCCUCCCAAGUAGCCUCCUACGUGGACCUAAAUGGAGGUAGCGGUGGAGAGGGGUUCAUUCAGAAGUGCAGACCUGGACUAUGCCCAUCUUUUAAAUGAAAAAGAUGAGAGAGUCAAAGUUCAGAGAGGGAAUGGACUUUCUGUGUUUUGCGGUGACGAGGAUGGCUGCCAUUUACCACCCAGGGCCACCUUGAAGACAGAAGAGACUGCAUCUUCCCUGCACCCCAUCCGUUCCCAGCUUUACAUAGAAGCCCUUGGGCCUGAGCCAGGGCAGUCCAGGACACAGUCACAGGGCAGAGGGUGUCCCCUGAGCACCUGUGUACUUGACCUCACAGGAAGCCAGAGACCCUGGGCCAGCUUUGAGCCCAGGGAGAGGUUAAGAAAUUCAAACACAGAAAAGGGAUACGCCUUUUGGAAUGCACAGAAAUCAAGCAUUUCAUGAGGAACCACACUCAGUGGGAGGCCCUGCAGGGGUGGGGGUGGGACGUGUGCAGUAGCAGGAG
rnacentral:lncRNA from 13 species